CGUAACUAUAACGGUCCUAAGGUAGCGAAAUUCCUUGUCGGGUAAGUUCCGACCUGCACGAAUGGCAUAAUGAUGGCGGCGCUGUCUCCAGCAGAGGCUCAGUGAAAUCGAAAUCGCUGUGAAGAUGCAGUGUACCCGCGGCUAGACGGAAAGACCCCGUGAACCUUUACUGCAGCUUGACAUUGAACUUUGACCUUACUUGUGUAGGAUAGGUGGGAGGCUUUGAAGUUGGAACGCUAGUUCCAAUGGAGCCGUCCUUGAAAUACCACCCUGGUAAUGUUGAGGUUCUAACUCUGCCCCGUAAUCCGGGGCGAGGACCAUGUCUGGUGGGUAGUUUGACUGGGGCGGUCUCCUCCUAAAGAGUAACGGAGGAGUACGAAGGUGCGCUCAGCGUGGUCGGAAAUCACGCGUAGAGUAUAAAGGCAAAAGCGCGCUUAACUGCGAGACCCACAAGUCGAGCAGGUACGAAAGUAGGUCUUAGUGAUCCGGUGGUUCUGUAUGGAAGGGCCAUCGCUCAACGGAUAAAAGGUACUCUGGGGAUAACAGGCUGAUACCGCCCAAGAGUUCAUAUCGACGGCGGUGUUUGGCACCUCGAUGUCGGCUCAUCUCAUCCUGGGGCUGAAGCAGGUCCCAAGGGUAUGGCUGUUCGCCAUUUAAAGAGGUACGCGAGCUGGGUUUAGAACGUCGUGAGACAGUUCGGUCCCUAUCUACCGUGGGCGCUGGAAAUUUGAGAGGAUCUGCUCCUAGUACGAGAGGACCAGAGUGGACGAACCUCUGGUGUACCGGUUGUCACGCCAGUGGCAUCGCCGGGUAGCUAUGUUCGGAAGGGAUAACCGCUGAAAGCAUCUAAGCGGGAAGCCUACCUCAAGAUAAGAUUUCCCUAGGACUUUAUGUCCUCUAAAGAGCCGUUCGAGACUAGGACGUUGAUAGGUUGGGUGUGGAAGCACGGUGACGUGUGAAGCUGACCAAUACUAAUUGCUCGUGAGGCUUGACUAUACAACACCCAAACAGUUG
rnacentral:rRNA from 1 species